rnacentral:rRNA from 1 species
CGUGUAGGCGGUAUCAUAAGUCAGAUGUGAAAUCCCCGCGCUUAACGUGGGCAUUGCAUUUGAAACUAUGUAGCUAGAGUUCUGUAGAGGGGGGUAGAAUUCCAGGUGUAGCGGUGAAAUGCGUAGAGAUCUGGAGGAAUACCGAUUGCGAAGGCAGCCCCCUGGACAGUGACUGACGCUCAUAUGCGAAAGCGUGGGGAUCAAACAGGAUUAGAUACCCUCGUA